rnacentral:rRNA from 1 species
GACGAACGCUGGCGGCGUGCUUAACACAUGCAAGUCGAACGGAAAGGCCCUGCUUUUGUGGGGUGCUCGAGUGGCGAACGGGUGAGUAACACGUGAGUAACCUGCCCUUUACUUUGGGAUAACUUCAGGAAACUGGGGCUAAUACCGGAUAGGAGCUCCUGCUGCAUGGUGGGGGUUGGAAAGUUUCGGCGGUUGGGGAUGGACUCGCGGCUUAUCAGCUUGUUGGUGGGGUAGUGGCUUACCAAGGCUUUGACGGGUAGCCGGCCUGAGAGGGUGACCGGCCACAUUGGGACUGAGAUACGGCCCAGACUCCUACGGGAGGCAGCGGUGGGGAAUAUUGCACAAUGGGCGGAAGCCUGAUGCAGCAACGCCGCGUGCGGGAUGACGGCCUUCGGGUUGUAAACCGCUUUCGCCUGUGACGAAGCGUGAGUGACGGUAAUGGGUAAAGAAGCACCGGCUAACUACGUG